CACACUCCAAGCGAAGCUUGAUGUUGGGCGAUGCGGCUCACGCCGCACGCCUGGAACGCAUGGGCGCCCGCCGCCGGACCGCGAACGUAGCAAGACAUCAUGUCAAACCGUUUUCGUUGGCUCCGACGGAGGGCGAUCUGAUUUAUUUUCUGUCUUAGAAA
rnacentral:misc_RNA from 1 species